rnacentral:rRNA from 1 species
GUGAGGAAUAUUGGUCAAUGGGCGGAAGCCUGAACCAGCCAUGCCGCGUGAAGGAUGAAGGUUCUAUGGAUUGUAAACUUCUUUUAUUUGGGAAUAAACCCUCCGACGUGUUGGAGGCUGAAGGUACCAAAUGCAUAAGCACCGGCUAACUCCGUGCCAGCAGCCGCGGUAAUACGGAGGGUGCAAGCGUUAUCCGGAAUCAUUGGGUUUAAAGGGUCCGCAGGCGGAUUUAUAAGUCAGUAGUGAAAGACUGUCGCUCAACGACGGAUGGGUUAUUGAUACUGGUUAACUUGAAUCAAGUUAGAGUUGGCGGAAUGGGUCAUGUAGCGGUGAAAUGCUUAGAUAUGACUUGGAACACCGAUAGCGAAGGCAGCUGACUGAGCCUUGAUUGACGCUGAGGUACGAAAGUGUGGGUAGCGAACAGGAUUAGAUACCCCAGUAGUCC